UACGUAGGGGGCUAGCGUUGUUCGGAAUUACUGGGCGUAAAGCGCACGUAGGCGGACAUUUAAGUCAGGGGUGAAAUCCCGGGGCUCAACCUCGGAACUGCCUUUGAUACUGGGUGUCUUGAGUGUGGAAGAGGUGAGUGGAAUUCCGAGUGUAGAGGUGAAAUUCGUAGAUAUUCGGAGGAACACCAGUGGCGAAGGCGGCUCACUGGUCCACUACUGACGCUGAGGUGCGAAAGCGUGGGGAGCAAACAGG
rnacentral:rRNA from 1 species